rnacentral:rRNA from 1 species
CGUGUAGGUGGAUUUGUAAGUGAGGGGUGAAAUCCCGGGGCUUAACUCCGGAACUGCCUUUCAUACUGCAAGUCUUGAGUGCGGGAGAGGGAGAUGGAAUUCCUGGUGUAGCGGUGGAAUGCGUAGAUAUCAGGAGGAACACCGGUGGCGAAGGCGGUCUCCUGGCCCGUAACUGACACUGAGGCGCGAAAGCGUGGGGAGCAAACA